rnacentral:rRNA from 1 species
AUUGAACGCUGGCGGCAGGCCUAACACAUGCAAGUCGAACGGUAACAGGAAGAAGCUUGCUUCUUUGCUGACGAGUGGCGGACGUGUGAGUAAUGUCUGGGAAACGGCCUGAUGGAGGGGGAUAACUACUGGAAACGGUAGCUACUACCGCAUAACGUCGCAAGACCAAAAAUGGGGACCUUCGGGCCUCUUGCCAUCGGAUGUGCCCGGGUGGGAUUAGCUAGUAGGUGGGGUAACGGCUCACCUAGGCGACGAUCCCUAGCUGGUCUGAGAGGAUGACCAGCCACACUGGAACUGAGACACGGUCCAGACUCCUACGGGAGGCAGCAGUGGGGAAUAUUGCACAAUGGGCGCAAGCCUGAUGCAGCCAUGCCGCGUGUAUGAAGAAGGCCUUCGGGUUGUAAAGUACUUUCAGCGGGGAGGAAGGGAGUAAAGUUAAUACCUUUGCUCAUUGACGUUACCCGAAGAAGAAGCACCGGCUAACUCCGUG